ensembl:lincRNA
CUACUUUCAGUGACAGGAGAGCAGGCAAGGUAAGGAAACAGGCUUUAUUCUCUACAAACCGCAGAACCUGUCACAACCAGAACCUGCAUAUCCUGGAUCUUCAUGGGGACCCAGGUGACCACUUCUGCUCACAGUCAUCUCAAUCCACUUCUCAAGAACCCAUUAAUGAUCUGAUUAAGGGACAGGAUCAAAUGAUGCCCACCUCAGCCAUCACAGACCAAGCUCAGCAGCACAGGGGUACUGGGUGCAUGGAUAUUGGCUGUGUGACCUUGGGGUAGACCUGACUCCCUUAUGAAAGAGCUCAGCUCAGGCUUCUGCACAGACGGGGCU